rnacentral:rRNA from 1 species
AGCAGUCGCCGCGGUAAUACGUAGGUGGCAAGCGUUGUCCGGAAUUAUUGGGCGUAAAGGGCUCGCAGGCGGUUUCUUAAGUCUGAUGUGAAAGCCCCCGGCUCAACCGGGGAGGGUCAUUGGAAACUGGGAAACUUGAGUGCAGAAGAGGAGAGUGGAAUUCCACGUGUAGCGGUGAGAUGCGUAGAGAUGUGGAGGAACACCAGUGGCGAAGGCGACUCUCUGGUCUGUAACUGACGCUGAGGAGCGGAAGCGUGGGGAGCGAACAGGAUUAGAUACCCCGGUAGUCCCUGUCUCUUAUAC